rnacentral:rRNA from 1 species
AUUGAACGCUGGCGGCAUGCCUUACACAUGCAAGUCGAACGGCAGCAUGAUCUAGCUUGCUAGAUUGAUGGCGAGUGGCAAACGGGUGAGUAAUACAUCGGAACGUGCCCUGUAGUGGGGGAUAACUAGUCGAAAGAUUAGCUAAUACCGCAUACGACCUGAGGGUGAAAGUGGGGGACCGCAAGGCCUCAUGCUAUAGGAGCGGCCGAUGUCUGAUUAGCUAGUUGGUGAGGUAAAGACUCACCAAGGCGACGAUCAGUAGCUGGUCUGAGAGGACGAUCAGCCACACUGGGACUGAGACACGGCCCAGACUCCUACGGGAGGCAGCAGUGGGGAAUUUUGGACAAUGGGGGCAACCCUGAUCCAGCAAUGCCGCGUGUGUGAAGAAGGCCUUCGGGUUGUAAAGCACUUUUGUCCGGAAAGAAAUCGCACUUACUAAUAUUAGGUGUGGAUGACGGUACCGGAAGAAUAAGGACCGGCUAACUACGUGCCAGCCGCCGCGGUAAAAC